rnacentral:rRNA from 1 species
GCUCAACACAUGCAAGAUCGAGCGGGGAAAGGUAGCUUGCUACUUUACCUAGCGGCGGACGGGUGAGUAAUGCUUAGGAAUCUGCCUAUUAGUGGGGGACAACAUCUCGAAAGGGAUGCUAAUACCGCAUACGUCCUACGGGAGAAAGCAGGGGACCUUCGGGCCUUGCGCUAAUAGAUGAGCCUAAGUCGGAUUAGCUAGUUGGUGGGGUAAAGGCCUACCAAGGCGACGAUCUGUAGCGGGUCUGAGAGGAUGAUCCGCCACACUGGGACUGAGACACGGCCCAGACUCCUACGGGAGGCAGCAGUGGGGAAUAUUGGACAAUGGGGGGAACCCUGAUCCAGCCAUGCCGCGUGUGUGAAGAAGGCCUUUUGGUUGUAAAGCACUUUAAGCGAGGAGGAGGCUACCGAGAUUAAUACUCUUGGAUAGUGGACGUUACUCGCAGAAUAAGCACCGGCUAACUCUGUGCCAGCAGCCGCGGUAAUACAGAGGGUGCAAGCGUUAAUCGGAUUUACUGGGCGUAAAGCGCGCGUAGGUGGCCAAUUAAGUCAAAUGUGAAAUCCCCGAGCUUAACUUGGGAAUUGCAUUCGAUACUGGUUGGCUAGAGUAUGGGAGAGGAUGGUAGAAUUCCAGGUGUAGCGGUGAAAUGCGUAGAGAUCUGGAGGAAUACCGAUGGCGAAGGCAGCCAUCUGGCCUAAUACUGACACUGAGGUGCGAAAGCUUGGGGAGCAAACAGGAUUAGAUACCCUGGUAGUCCAUGCCGUAACGAGGUCUACUAGCCGUUGGGGCCUUUGAGGCUUUA